rnacentral:rRNA from 1 species
CAGCCGCCGCGGUAAUACGAAGGGUGCAAGCGUUAAUCGGAAUUACUGGGCGUAAAGCGUGCGUAGGCGGUGAGUUAAGUCUGCUGUGAAAUCCCCGGGCUCAACCUGGGAAUGGCAGUGGAUACUGGCUCGCUAGAGUGUGUCAGAGGAUGGUGGAAUUCCCGGUGUAGCGGUGAAAUGCGUAGAGAUCGGGAGGAACAUCAGUGGCGAAGGCGGCCAUCUGGGACAACACUGACGCUGAGGCACGAAAGCGUGGGUAGCAAACAGGAUUAGAUACCCCUGUAGUCCCUGUCUCUUAUAC